UGGUCUGGUUUCUCUUCAGCUCAUGUAAAUCUUUUGUCUUUUACUAAAGACUUCCAUGGAGAGGAGCAUUGACAAGUUGGCAACUAAUUUUUGGUUGAGCUGUGGUGGUGCUGGA
ensembl:snRNA U5 U5 spliceosomal RNA